CAUGAAGCCGGAAUCGCUAGUAAUCGCGGAUCAGAAUGCCGCGGUGAAUACGUUCCCGGGUCUUGUACACACCGCCCGUCACACCAUGGGAGUUUGUAACGCCCAAAGUCGGUGGCCUAACCUUUAUGGAGGGAGCCGCCUAAGGCGGGACAGAUGACUGGGGUGAAGUCGUAACAAGGUACC
rnacentral:rRNA from 1 species